GUAGUUUUGUUUCAUCUUUGGUGUUCUUGUGUUUUUAUCUAGCAUUUAAUUUCGUCUGUGCCAUUUACAAUAUCAGGUUUCAAUCUUUGAAUUGCAAGUGAUAAUUUUAAAGAGAUCUCAUGUUAUUAGCGCAUGUUUAAGUCCAGAGAUUUGUUUGGGUUCUUUGUAUUGACUUAGUUCUAGUAUUAUUCUUGGAUAAGCUUUGUCCUUGAAGUUUUCACCCUUGCAUCCACAAAUAUGGCCUGUGAAAAAUGGUUCUAAUUACAUGGACUAUCCAAAAUAAUUUCUUUGCUAAAUUUGCUUUUGCUUUGUAGUUGGUUGAUAAAAAUUGGAUUUACUGAACUUUAGCAUUAUUUGUGGCAAAACAAGUCUGUCUGAGUUCAUUGUAAGUGUCAACAAGUACCUUGAAGCCCAGAACCAGAAGCUCUCUGUUGGGAUGAGGUUUGAGGGCGAGGAAGUUCCAGAAAGAAGGUUCAGUGGAACAAGUGUUGGUGUUGGGGAAAGUACAUCAACUAGAUGGCCUGAUUCUGAAUGGAGAUCCUUGAAGAUUGCUUUUGCGUGGGCUAUUGUGGAUAUUUAUUUUUGUGUACGAAGAGCAUAUUUUUUGUAUAUGAAAGACAUUUAUUUUUCUACAACCCUCUGUGUUAGAAAUCCAGUGUUUUUAUAUGUAAUAUUUAAUUUAGAUGGAUUAUAUUUAGUUAGUGUGGAUUUAUAUGAUAUUUGGAAUAUGAUGUUAAGUUUUUGGAUAGUUGGU